AGUGAGAUAGGUGGGUCAAAUGGUGGUUCUAUCCCAAGUUUUCUAAGGAAUCUCUAUAUUGCUUUUCAUAAGGGUUGCACCAAUUUGCAGUCCCACCAUCGAU
rnacentral:pre_miRNA from 1 species